UAAAUGGAGAUUUCCGUGGAUUCUGGGACAUUGGCCUCAAUGGACAGAAAAUGUUGCAUUUUGACUCAAGCACUAGAAAGUUGACUGAAGUUGAUUCUGAAUCCAGCCAGUUGAAAACUAUGAUGGGGAAAGACAAGGAAGUAACUGACUUCUUAUACAGGACCUCACAGGGGGACUGUAGGUCCUGGCUUGAGGAGUUCAAGUCACACUGGGAAGAAAAACUGGAGCCUACAGCCUCGCCAAAUGCUGCUCCGGAUGUGAACCAGCCUCUGACCUUGGCAAGCAAGUCCAACAUCUCUGUCCUGCUGAUGAUCCUCAUCUGCUCCCCCCUGUUUCUCUUAAAAUAUUUGUGAUGACAGGUUGAAGAUGCUGCAGAGAAGGUCGUGAGAGUUCAUCUGGUGCAGCCACUCUCCCUCUCAUCGGCCUCAACCAGAUGAAUCAUGG